rnacentral:rRNA from 1 species
GAUGAACGCUGGCGGCGUGCUUAACACAUGCAAGUCGAACGGAAAGGCCCUGCUUGCAGGGUACUCGAGUGGCGAACGGGUGAGUAACACGUGGGUGAUUUGCCCUGCACUUCGGGAUAAGCCGGGGAAACUGGGUCUAUUACCGGAAAGGAGCCAUUUUUAGAGUGAUGGUUGGAAAGUUUUUUCGGUAUUGGAUGAGCCCGCGGCGUAUCAGCUUGUUGGUGGGGUAAUGGCCUACCAAGGCGGCGACGGGUCGCCGGCCUGAGUGGGUGGCCGGCCACACUGAGACCUAGGGACGGCCCCGGUUCCUACGGGUGGCCGCAGGGGGGAAUCUUGCACCAUCCGCGCCACCCUGAUGCAGCGGCGCCGCGGGGGGGAUGCCGCUCUUCGUGGUGUAAACACCUUUUGCUAGGAACGAAGCUUUUUGUGACGGUACCUAAAUAAGAAGCACCGGCUAACUACGUG